rnacentral:rRNA from 1 species
AUUGAACGCUGGCGGCAGGCCUAACACAUACAAGUCGAGCGGAUGAAGAGAGCUUGCUCUCUGAUUUAGCGGCGGACGGGUGAGUAAUGCCUAGGAAUCUGCCCGGUAGUGGGGGAUAACGUUCCGAAAGGAACGCUAAUACCGCAUACGUCCUACGGGAGAAAGCAGGGGACCUUCGGGCCUUGCGCUAUCAGAUGAGCCUAGGUCGGAUUAGCUAGUUGGUGAGGUAAUGGCUCACCAAGGCGACGAUCCGUAACUGGUCUGAGAGGAUGAUCAGUCACACUGGAACUGAGACACGGUCCAGACUCCUACGGGAGGCAGCAGUGGGGAAUAUUGGACAAUGGGCGAAAGCCUGAUCCAGCCAUGCCGCGUGUGUGAAGAAGGUCUUCGGAUUGUAAAGCACUUUAAGUUGGGAGGAAGGGCAUUAACCUAAUACGUUAGUGUUUUGACGUUACCAACAGAAUAAGCACCGGCUAACUUCGUGCCAGCCGCCGCCGUAAGAC